AGCGAACGCUGGCGGCAGGCCUAACACAUGCAAGUCGAACGAACUCUUCGGAGUUAGUGGCGGAAGGGUGAGUAACACGUGGGAACGUGCCUUUAGGUUCGGAAUAACUCAGGGAAACUUGUGCUAAUACCGAAUGUGCCCUUCGGGGGAAAGAUUUAUCGCCUUUAGAGCGGCCCGCGUCUGAUUAGCUAGUUGGUGAGGUAAAGGCUCACCAAGGCGACGAUCAGUAGCUGGUCUGAGAGGAUGAUCAGCCACAUUGGGACUGAGACACGGCCCAAACUCCUACGGGAGGCAGCAGUGGGGAAUCUUGCGCAAUGGGCGAAAGCCUGACGCAGCCAUGCCGCGUGAAUGAUGAAGGUCUUAGGAUUGUAAAAUUCUUUCACCGGGGACGAUAAUGACGGUACCCGGAGAAGAAGCCCCGGCUAACUUCGUG
rnacentral:rRNA from 1 species